rnacentral:rRNA from 1 species
CCUACGGGAGGCAGCAGUAGGGAAUAUUGCACAAUGGGCGAAAGCCUGAUGCAGCGACGCCGCGUGAGUGAUGAAGGCCUUCGGGUCGUAAAACUCUGUGAUAUGUGAAGAUAAUGACGGUAACAACAGAAGACGCC